rnacentral:rRNA from 1 species
UUACGGGAGGCAGCAGCGAGGAAUAUUGCACAAUGGGCGCAAGCCUGAUGCAGUAACGCCGCGUGCGGGAUGAAGACCUUCGGGUUGUAAACCGCUUUUAAGAGAGACGAGUGAGGACGGUAUCUCUGGAAUAAGUCUCGGCUAACUACGUGCCAGCAGCCGCGGUAAGACGUAGGAGGCGAGCGUUAUCCGGAUUCACUGGGCGUAAAGCGCAUGUAGGCGGUUGCGUAAGUCGUGUGUUAAAGCCCCUGGCUCAACUGGGGGAGGUCAUGCGAGACUACGAGACUUGAGGGUAGGAGAGGAGAGUGGAACUCCCGGUGUAGCGGUGGAAUGCGUAGAGAUCGGGAAGAACACCAGUGGCGAAAGCGGCUCUCUGGCCUACGACUGACGCUGAGAUGCGAAAGUGUGGGGAGCAAACGGGAUUAGAUACCCCGGUAGC